GCCUGGAUGGCUCAGUUGGUUAGAGCAUGGUGCUCAUAAUGCCAAGGUUGCAGGUUCAAUCCCUGUAUUGGACA